CCGUAAAGACAAAAACGAGUGUUUUAAUUAGACCCGCUACCUACGGUUACCGCCCCACGCAGUUUUAGUGCGCCGCGAAUACCGAGCCCUAUACGCACUUGUACAAUAUUAUUAUUAUUUUUAUUAUUAUUAUUGCGUACAUAUUGUCGUAACAAAAGAGAGACCGCAGCGGCGGCGGCGGCCCGGACGAGUACCAAUUAACCGACGAAAACGACGAAAUUAAUAAACAUAUUAAUUUCACGUGUCAACCGGCAGUUUUUUCGGUGCCGUGUUGUUUUUCCUUAUUAAAACGGCG